GUUUAAAUAGCUUAAAUUUAGAGUUUAAUAUUGAAGAUAUUAAGGUAAUUAUUUUAACUAAAUUUUUAAAUA
rnacentral:tRNA from 1 species